rnacentral:rRNA from 1 species
GAUGAACGCUGGCGGCGUGCCUAACACAUGCAAGUCGAGCGGAGAUAAGCGGAAGGUAACUGAAGCUUAUCUUAGCGGCGGACGGGUGAGUAACACGUGGGCAACCUGCCUUGAAGUGGGGGAUAACACCGGGAAAUCGGUGCUAAUACCGCAUAACAUACACAAACUGCAUGGUAAGUGUAUCAAAGGAGCAAUCCGCUUUAAGAUGGGCCCGCGGCUGAUUAGCUAGUUGGUAAGGUAACGGCUUACCAAGGCGACGAUCAGUAGCCGACCUGAGAGGAUGGCCGGCCACACUGGAACUGAGACACGGUCCAGACUCCUACGGGAGGCAGCAGUGGGGAAUCUUGCACAAUGCGCGAAAGCGUGAUGCAGCAACGCCGCGUGGGGGAAGACGGCCUUCGGGUUGUAAACCCUUUCAGUUGGGACGAAGCUUCGUCGGUGAAUAGCCGGUUGGAGUGACGGUACCUUCACGAAGAAGCCCCGGCUAACUACGUGCCAGCAGCCGACC